rnacentral:tRNA from 1 species
GAUCUCGGGAGGCGCGAGCGCCGGGGUGCCCGGUGCGCAGGCGACGGAUACUUCUGGAUCCGAGGUGCGCGGGUUCGAUUCCCGCCCGGCUUCG